rnacentral:rRNA from 1 species
UAGGGAAUCUUCGGCAAUGGACGGAAGUCUGACCGAGCAACGCCGCGUGAGUGAAGAAGGUUUUCGGAUCGUAAAGCUCUGUUGUUAGAGAAGAACGUUGGUAGGAGUGGAAAAUCUACCAAGUGACGGGAACUAACCAGAAAGGGACGGCUAACAACGUGCCAGCAGCCGCGGUAAUACGUAGGUCCCGAGCGUUGUCCGGAUUUAUCGGGCGUAAAGAGAGCGCAGGCGGUUCUUUAAGGCUGAAGUUAAAGGCAGUGGCUUAACCAUUGUACGCUUUGGAAACUGGAGGACUUGAGUGCAGAAGGGGAGCGUGGAAUUCCAUGUGUAGCGGUGAAAUGCGUAGAUAUAUGGAGGAACACCGGUGGCGAAAGCGGCUCUCUGGUCUGUAACUGACGCUGAGGCUCGAAAGCGUGGGGAGCAAACAGG